rnacentral:rRNA from 1 species
CAGCGAAACUGCGAAUGGCUCAUUAUAUAAGUUCAUCUUGUAUUAUUUGAUAGUGCCUUACUACUUGGAUAACCGUGGUAAUUCUAGAGCUAAUACAUGCUAAAAACCCCGACUUCGGAAGGGGUGUAUUUAUUAGAUACAAAACCAAUGCCCUUCGGGGCUCUUUGGUGAUUCACGAUAACUAUACGAAUCGCACGGCCUUGCGCCGGCGAUGGUUCAUUCAAAUUUCUUCCCUAUCAACUUUCGAUGUUUGGGUAUUGGCCAAACAUGGUUGCAACGGGUAACGGAGGGUUAGGGCUCGACCCCGGAGAAGGAGCCUGAGAAACGGCUACUACAUCCAAGGAAGGCAGCAGGCGCGCAAAUUACCCAAUCCCGACUCGGGGAGGUAGUGACAAUAAAUACUGAUACAGGGCCCUCUCGGGCCUUGUAAUUGGAAUGCGCACACUUUAAAUCCCUUAACGAGGAACAAUUGGAGGGCAAGUCUGGUGCCAGCAGCCGCGGUAAUUCCAGCUCCAAUAGCGUAUAU